rnacentral:rRNA from 1 species
UACGAAGGGGGCUAGCGUUGUUCGGAAUUACUGGGCGUAAAGCGCGCGCAGGCGGUCUUCCAAGUCCGUGGUGAAAGCCCGGAGCUCAACUCCGGAAUUGCCAUUGAAACUGUGAGACUGGAGUACGAGAGAGGUGAGUGGAAUUCCCAGUGUAGAGGUGAAAUUCGUAGAUAUUGGGAAGAACACCGGUGGCGAAGGCGGCUCACUGGCUCGUAACUGACGCUCAGGCGCGACAGCGUGGGGAUCAAACAGG